AGGCGGUGAUGGCAGUAUACUCCUCAACACCCGAGGUGACCUUUUUCUCAGCUUCUUUGAUCAUCGGAAAGUUCCACUAGGUCCAGAUGACGUCCUCUUCCUGACGACACUCUGGAGAGUUUCUGUCGAGGCCUGCAUGCCUACACAAUCAUGACAACAAAGAGUUAGUCUACAAGCAAAGCAAGAGCUACAAAAAUCUAUGGAAAAGAAGAUUAUCUAGAUGGCUCGUCAGGCUUAUCCCGACGUCAUAAAGCGACUAUUCCUCCAGAAGCUCCUAUUGUGGAGGAACUAGGACUUCGAAGAGCUUGUCGUACAGCUCCUGAUCUUCCAGCAAGACUACAUCAUUCUUGUUCAGUGACAGAUUGAGAGCGGUCCAGGUCCAGUCGAAGCCCCAUGGAUGGUCAGCAGCAAUGUAAAAGAAUUUAUUCUUCCACCCAUGGAUGGAAAAAGAAAAGCCCUUAAUCAAUUGACGAUGGGGCUGAGGAUUGAAGAACCACUAUCCUUAUUUUCGAGGAUAUUUCUUCAACACAAAGAUGGCCCGAAAUAGAGAGAUUCGGGGCUCAACCUGAAGAAG
rnacentral:lncRNA from 1 species